UCUCCGUUGGUGAACCAGCGGAGGGAUCAUUACAGAGUUGAAAAACUCCAACCCCUGUGAACCUACCUUUACUGUUGCUUCGGCGGACGAUGGCCCCAGGGCCGGACGCCGCCGGAGGUUACAAACCCUGAAUUUUUAGUGUAUCUCUGAGUACAAAAACAAAUAAUUAAAACUUUCAACAACGGAUCUCUUGGUUCUGGCAUCGAUGAAGAACGCAGCGAAAUGCGAUAAGUAAUGUGAAUUGCAGAAUUCAGUGAAUCAUCGAAUCUUUGAACGCACAUUGCGCCCGCCGGUAUUCCGGCGGGCAUGCCUGUCCGAGCGUCAUUUCACCACUCAAGCCCAGCUUGGUGUUGGGGCACCCGGCCGCCCGGCGGUCGGGGCCCCCAAGAACAUCGGCGGUCUCGCUGGGACCCUGAACGCAGUAACUCGCGGUAAAACGCGCUUCGUUCGGAGGCUUUUCCCAGCGGGCUCCAGCCGCUAAAACCCCCUAAAAUUCUUAGGUUGACCUCGGAUCAGGUAGGAAUACCCGCUGAACUUAA
rnacentral:rRNA from 1 species